UACGUAGGGCGCAAGCGUUGUCCGGAAUUAUUGGGCGUAAAGAGCUCGUAGGCGGCUUGGCAAGUCGGAUGUGAAAACUCCAGGCUCAACCUGGAGCCGCCAUUCGAUACUGCUAUGGCUAGAGUCCGGUAGGGGAGUGUGGAAUUCCCGGUGUAGCGGUGAAAUGCGCAGAUAUCGGGAGGAACACCGAUGGCGAAGGCAGCACUCUGGGACGGUACUGACGCUGAGACGCGAAAGCGUGGGGAGCGAACAGG
rnacentral:rRNA from 1 species